rnacentral:rRNA from 1 species
GCGAACGCUGGCGGCAGGCCUAACACAUGCCAGUCGAACGAACCUUUCGGGGUUAGUGGCGGACGGGUGAGUAACACGUGGGAACGUGCCUUUAGGUUCGGAAUAACUCAGGGAAACUUGUGCUAAUACCGAAUGUGCCCUUCGGGGGAAAGAUUUAUCGCCUUUAGAGCGGCCCGCGUCUGAUUAGCUAGUUGGUUGAGGUAAUGGCUCACCAAGGCGACGAUCAGUAGCUGGUCUGAGAGGAUGAUCAGCCACAUUGGGACUGAGACACGGCCCAAACUCCUACGGGAAGCAGCAGUGGGGAAUCUUGCGCAAUGGGCGAAAGCCUGACGCAGCCAUGCCGCGUGAAUGAUGAAGGUCUUAGGAUUGUAAAAUUCUUUCACCGGGGACGAUAAUGACGGUACCCGGAGAAGAAGCCCCGGCUAACUUCGUG